ACUCCCAAUUCCAUCCCCUCAACUUUUCCAGGGAGAGUGCAAAUAUAUCAGGAUCAUGGCUGAGUCAGUUGGGAGUAGGAACAUGGAUAGAAAGCUUAUACAGAUCGAUAUUAGCUCCGACACGGUUUGCCCCUGGUGCUUUGUUGGCAAAAAGAAUCUUGACAAAGCAAUAUCUGUUUCUCAGGAUCAAUAUGAUUUUGAGUUGAAGUGGCAUCCCUUCCAGCUCAACCCUUCUGCUCCCAAAGAAGGUGUUGUUAAGAGGGAAUAUUACAGGAGUAAGUUUGGAAUUCAAUCUGAACAGAUGGAAGCUCGGAUGGCAGAGGUGUUUAAGGGUCUUGGACUGAAUUAUGACACAUCUGGGCUGACGGGAAAUACUCUAGAUAGCCACAAGCUUAUAUAUUUGGCAGGUCAACAAGGUUCAGGCAAACAACAUGAUCUUGUGGAGGAGUUGUGCCUUGGAUACUUCACUCAAGGAAAAUACAUUGGUGACCGGGACUUUCUUUUGGAAUGUGCUAGAAAGGCGGGGGUGGAAGGAGCAGCAGAGUUUCUCGAGUCAGCUGAUGAAGGAGUUAAGGAGGUCAAGGAGGAGCUUGAGAAGUACUCAGGAAAAAUUUCAGGAGUUCCCUUUUAUGUUAUCAAUGGGAAGCACAAGUUGAGUGGUGCUCAACCCCCUGAGGUUUUUCUAAGAGCUUUUCAAGUGGCAGGGAAAUGACCG
rnacentral:misc_RNA from 1 species